UGCAGCACAUGGAAGUUCCCAGGCUAGGGGUCCAAUCAGAGCUGUAGAUGCCAGCCGAUGCCACAGCCACGGAAAGACGAAUCCAAGCUGUGUCUGUGAUCAGUACCACAGCUCACCACAAUGCCAGAUCCUUAACCCACUGAAUAGGCUUGGGAUCUAAUCCAAGUCCUCAUGGACCCUUGAGGGCUCAUUUCCACUGAGUCAUGAUGGGAACCACUAUAUAGACCUUUAAAAACAGUCCUAAGACUGUAUUUUACUCACAGAUACUGUGAGUUAAGUAUUACUUGCUGUGAUACAUUGUAUUAGUCAUGUAUUACUAUAUGGAAUGUUACUUAUAUAUUACUCUGUAAUACAUGUAAUAAUCAUGUAUGGCUCUUACUGUUAGGCCACAUUUAAAAAUAUGUCGUCACACUGGGACCAUUGUCACGGCCUUGUGCCAGUUAGAAGUUUAUAUGACUCUCUUCUCACUAGCCAUCUCUUGCUGGAGCCGUCCUGCCUGGGUCCCCAUCGCAGUGCUGCUGCUCGGUAGCUUUACCUGAAGGGAUUGACCAUGUUUUAUGCUGUGCUCCACCGCAUUGUGCUAUGUACCAGUUCCAGGCUGUGGGUUAUUUUAAGCAUGCAUCCUGAACCCAAAAUUAUUCCCAAGAUCAUCCGGAGACAGACUGCAAGCCCUUGUAAAUAAGAAAUAUUACUGUAACAUGGAAACAGGGGCAUGAGCUGCUCGGGAUAUGUUCCUGUGUGUUUAUUGGUGGGAACAUACCAUGGUUGUAUCACUGGAAUCGUCAGUGCUUAGGACCUUCCUUUGCGUGCAGUGACAGAGAAAGCAGAAGCCUUGACAGUGAAAGACCUGCGGCUCAAAUGCGUGCACACUGCAGAUAGAUUGUCAUUUCCUUAGAAGUGUGAACAGCCUCAGCUCUAGGGAGAGAAACACGUUCAAAGAGGAGAGGGAGGAGUUCCCACUGUGGUGCAUCGGGAUCGGUGGCAUCUUAGGAGCGCUGGGACGCAGGUUCGGUCCCCGUGCUGGCAGAGUGGGUUAGGGAUCCGGCGUUGCCACAGCUCUGGCUUAGGUCAGCACUGUGGCUCAGAUCUGACCCCUGAGCUGGGAGCGCCACAUGCUGUGCGGUGGCCAAACAAAACAAACGAAAAAACGAGGGGAGGGUAGGUCUUCCGAGUAGGGGACGGGAUUCAAGGAAGAGGCGGCCUUGGUGGACGUGUUACCAAGGCUGUGGGGACCUGAGGAAGCCGUCUGCUCGAAUUCCCAUGAAAUCGCCGCACGCGUUCUGAGCCCGGGUAUUUUCUUCUUGUAGAUCUUUUCGGGGCUGUUGGUGAAUCUCAAAACGGUCGUGCCUUGGCUCUCGUGGUUACAGUACUUCAGCAUUCCUCGAUACGGCUUUUCGGCUUUGCAGUAUAAUGAGUUUUUGGGACAAAACUUCUGCCCUGGACUCAACGUCACAACAAACAAUACCUGUAGCUUCGCAAUAUGUACUGGCGCCGAGUAUUUGGAAAACCAGGGCAUCAGUCUCUCCGCUUGGGGCCUGUGGCAGAAUCACGUGGCCUUGGCGUGCAUGAUGGUCAUUUUCCUGACGAUCGCCUACCUGAAACUGCUACUCCUCAAAAAAUACUCCUAAAUUCCCCUCUAGGUUACACCACUUACCCCCCAUUAAAGAGAAAGCAUUCUGGUUU
rnacentral:lncRNA from 1 species